AUGUAGUGAUUAUCUCUGGUUCUAAUUUACUCUCAGAGCAAUAAUAGACAACAACAGAAACCCUCUUCUCAGUCUUCUGGCUGGUCAGAAGAGUAGCUGCAGCAAUAGUUGGAGUUUCUGCUCGCUGUACUCAAGAAUGGAGCAGCUGAGAAGAUCUUUUGUCAUCAGGGCAUUUUGACUUUUUAACACUCUCUGAUACAACAUAUGUAAUUUCCAAUGUAAAUACACAAAUAUAUAUAAUACAGAUAAAUCCAGUUACCGGUGAUUUAUUUUGAAAUAACUAACAGGAAAUGCUAACUAUAUAUUACCUGUGUAACUUUACUUUGCUUGUAGUUACACACUGUGUCCACCAGAGGGUCUAAGUGAGCAGCUAACUGGUUUCUAGCUCCUGAUUGGCUGAUGAAGCCAUUGUUGAUCUGUUGUUGCUUCUACUUUUAUUUCCUAACUCCUCUUCCUCCUUUAGCAUGAAAUCAAUGUUUUCUCAGUAAGUGUGAAUUAGAAGCAGCUCUACAGAGUUUCAGCACCCUGGACAGCUCUAUGACUUCAAAAUAACUGAUGAGCAGCUGGAAACUCUGCCUCAUUUAUUGGAGUCUUUGUUAAAUCCAGGAAUGGUUUGACUUUACCUGAGUCCAAGAAGGUCUCACUGUGAGGAUCCAAAGCUCUGAAAGCUUCCAUGUAUUUGUGACUCUCUCUGUUCUCUAACUAACCUGGAUCAUUCUGACAUUUUCCAUUAGAUGCCAAAUAAGGAACCAACUCUUAAAGUAAAUAUAAUGUAUAAUUAGCUGCAUGAACAACUGAUCAGAGUUUUGAUGCCACCAGGAUCAAUAUUCAUAAAGAGAAAUUAACAUCUCAAACACAAUACGUCACAUAUAGUCAGUCUCCACAUGUCUAUGGAACAUAAAACGUCUCUUAACAUUUGCAUUCAACCAAGCAGCUAAAAAUAAUGAUCAGAAUCAGAGCUGCUGAGCAGCUUUCUGAGAAGGCAAAGAGGAAACAAACAUGGCCAACCACAAACAAGAGCAGCUGAGCGUUUUUUCACUAUGAUUUAUUCACGUUUUAUGUCUGACAAUAUUAUUUAACUCACAGUGUUGAACUUGACAGUGUUUUCAUUCAUGUUAUUUAUUUCAUAAGCAGACUGCAACUAAAAAGACAUCCUUUAGUCCCGAUCCAUACAGAGUUGUUCCUUUUUCACAGCUUUUGUCCACUUAUUGUUAAAUUCUGACAUCUGAUCAGAAGAGAUGAGAUUUCUUAUGAAUUGCUGGAAGGUUUAAACCGUGACGACCAGAAAGCCAAAGAUGCAACAGCAGCUACAUUAUGCAAGAUCAGAUGAAGCUGAGCAAAGAAAGUGAAGGUUGUUUUUUAACAUAUAUUAUAUUUACAUAAGUUCUGAAAUAGGUUGUCUCAAUAAAAACUGCUCCUCUUGGUGGAUGUUUAACAGCUGGUCUUCCUUUCCAGGACCCUAAAAUUAGGACUUAUUUAAAAUCAGAUAAUAAAAAGAUAUAUUUCAUAACUAAAUACCAUCAUAAACUUUAAACAAUAAAACAUCUUAGGAUGAGAGGAAAUUAUCAUGGUUUCUGGGGCCAAGGAAAAAAACAAAUAUAAUUUAAAAUUGCAGCAACUAAUAUGAACUAAUAUGAACAAAGUUAACUAAUGUCCUUGAUAAAAACUUCAGUCAGUCACCAUUUCUUCUUGUUAGACUUUCCAAGAGCUCUGGAGAAUAAUUCAAACAUGUGACUUUAAUGUUUGGGCCUUUAUUAGACUGAUCCUGGUAGAGACGGUCAGGAUAUUUACUUCCUGAAACACGUGUGGACGCCUCAACACACCUUCUACACCUCAGCUGAUGGAGAAAAACACUCUUUAACACACGUUAGAACCUAAAGUCAAAGUUUUUACAGAUAUCAGUUUAGAAGAACUUUUUAUUGAGUGUUAAUGUUAAGCAUUCCUGACACAAAACAUCACCAGAGUCAAAGUCUGCCCUGGGAUUUGUAGUUCUCAGACUUUGGUUUGGUGUCAGAUGAAGAUCGUCUGUCCAGGAAGAUAAGUAUCUCAGACAUCGUCUCUCUCCAGACAGCCAUAGACCAUGAGUCCAGUUCUGAUCCUCAGGUUUGGUUCUGUGUGUCUAAGUUUAACCGUUCAUCUCCACAUUUACUGAUGUUUCACUUUGUGCUCUGCAGAAACCUCAGACUGAUCAUCUUUGAGACGCUGGAGAACACCAUUGGUAAAAUGUUUCAUCUCCUACAUGCAUGUUGUCAUGAUUUGUUUCUGCAUUUCUUAGAGACGUUGUCUUUCUUUUAGAGGAUAGAGGACCUGUGGAGGAGGAGGAAAGGAGGAAGAGGAUGCAGGUGGUGGAGAGGUUUCAGACGGCUCCUUCUGAGGAAAUAGCAGCUCUCUGUGGAUCCAGGACCUCAUUGCUUCAGUCCAAACUAGAUCAGGUCUUUGAUCUGAUUGUUCGUCCUCCUCCGUCUCCAUCUGGACAAUCGUCUCGUCGUUGGACGCCGAUCUAUGAGAUGAACUUUCCUGACCUCUGUGCGUAUUAGAGACUCAACAGGAUGACCUGGAUCAUUAUGAAGCAUCUGAUGUUGUGUUCAAGGAACAGAGGACAGAACAACUGAGGACUGGAAACAUGUAACAUGAGUCAUGUUUUGUGUUCAUAGAAGAAGUUUUUCUCAGUGGCUGUUUUGUUCCUCUGAGAAAGAUUUAGUUUUGUGUUGAUCUCAGUAUUUCCCAGUUUUAUGUUUCAUUUUGUUGUGAUUCUUGAAGUGUGAUUGUCAAAAAGAAAACUUUAUUUUAAAUCAUGUUGAACUAAUUUAACUUUAACUGUCCUUUUAUUUGGUUUUGUUCCUAAACUUUAAACCAACUCUUUAUUUUCCUCUCCAGGCUGCAGAGUCUGCUGAUAUAAACAUGCAUCAUGCAUUCAUGUUUUUCCUGAUAAACUGUGUAAAAUAAUAUGCACUACAUGUGGCAUCCCUGCUACUUCACACUUUGAGCUUGUUAAAUGUUUGAAGCUAAAUAUUUCUAGGAUAAAAGACAUCAUCUGGCAGAUUAGCUCAGAUUGCUUCAAAACUCUUCCAUGAUGAAGAGCAUUAGUGAAAACGAAGACUGGUCAUAGUUGGAAAGUGUUUUAGCUGUGAUCAAAUAGCUCCGUCUGUUAGAAGAUCUCCUGUAGUCUGUAGGGUCGGUUCUCUGAAGGUUCCUGAGGACCAACAAGCUGACAAGGAAAUGGAUCCAUAAAAAGUUUGAGACACAAGAGUGUCGACCUGUUGUUGGAGAUGAUGAUCUCAGAGUGGAAAGUUUGAACCAUGUUUCAUGUAUCAUGUGUGACCUGGUAGAUCAAGGUGUUGGUUAGUAUGAACUGCAUGGGCUUCAUCUAAAACCAACUGUGUCAGGGUUUAAACGCAGGAAACUGGAGGAAGGACAGACAGGGUAUGAAACAGAGAAAACAUCUGAUUCAUGGAGACACUGAUCAAGAAUGAUCAUAUCUGUGCAGCGUCCCAACUCAGUUACCUUCUGCCACAACUAAUCUGUCCACUAGAGGGAGCACAGAUACUUCCACAGGUUCUGCUUCAAACUUAAAGAUGAAAUAACUGCAUUCAGUGUUAUUUGACUACUUUGUUAAAUCUUUGAAAAAAGAAAUGUCUGUUUUUAUUUCCUUGUUUUCCUUCAAAUAGUUUUAAGAAGCAACGUCCAGCUUUCUGACUCAAUAACUCAUUUUAUUAAGAAUUGGAGGAUAAAGAAACCAAACACUGACAAAUACAUUUAACACGACUAAAACAAGAUGAAAUGCUGAAGGAAAGAACUCAGUGUGUCAUGUUCAUUUUUCAUGAUGUGUUUUUAAUCAAAUAUUUAGACUGAAAAUAAAACAAGUCAAAUAACACAACAGCAACAAAUUUCCACCCACUGCUCUAAAAGUGAGAGCUGUAAAAAACGACAGCAUGAAUAAAAGCAAAUGAAAACAGAAGGUUACAGUAAACACACAUAAAAUGAUUCCUUGGCUGCUGAUAUAGAAAUGACCUGUUACUGGAUACAAAUUCACAUUUACCUUCAGAAAGUUCAACCAUGUUUUCCAGCUGGAGCCAAACACUGUUGAACUGGAUGUCACCUGUGCUGAAAGCCAGCAGAUAACCAAACCCCAGCAUGAUUUCAAUGUGUGAGAACAUAAUAGAAGGGGAGGAAGGGAGGGAAUAAAGCUCAGACAGCAUGGGAUCAAAGUCUGUGGUGACAUUAACUUCAGUCCAACUGUGGAAAUAAAAAGAUAAAAGUCCAGAAAAAGACAUAAAAACUGAAUGAGCCAACAGCUCAGUGUGAUAGACUAAAGUACUGAGAACAUCUAGUGUCCUAGUUCAAGUCCUCAACUAUACAAAGAGCUUGUUUUAAUAGAUCUUUACCAUAAAUUAUGUUGAGACUAUGUUCAACUUGACAUUAGUUUGUAAAGUUGAAAGAAAAUUCACAUUAGUUGAUAAACCAGCUGCUGUCAGCUCCAUCCAUCACAUUGAGUCAGAGGUCAUGACUGAAAGGCUUCAGAAUACAACAAUAAACUGUCUGGUUGGAUAGCUCAAGGUGUUUGAUCAGAGAUCAGCAACAUGGAGGUCAAGGGAUCAAGACUAAGAAGGUCCAUGUUUUUAAAAACCAAAACUGAAUAAUUUCAGAGAACUUUGAACAAUAUUUCAAAGAGUUGAACCAGUGUGAGUCAAUAGCUCAACAUGAUGGACUGUAGGGUGGAGAUUCAAGAAAGUCUGGGUUCAAUAUCUCAUUAGGAACCAUUUAGGAGCUGAUUUGUUGUGAAGAACCUCAGAGUCUGUAUUUUGAUCAGUUCAGGGAUGAAAGUGAAAAGUUGAAAAGCACCAAGAGAAGAGAGAUGAGAGGGGAGCAGACCUGAUGGUGUGGAGGAACUGUCUGUGACCAGAAGAUGCCAGUGGUGGAGUUCCUGGGUUCAAGUCCUGCCUGAGCUACAACCUGGAGAGAAGAUCUAGUCCUGCAUAAUGGUUUGCCCAAGAUGUAGAGAGAGCUCUUAGGCGUUGCCAAGGUCUGGCAUUCAAAGCACAUCUAGAAGUUGAAUCAGUUGGCCCUUACUGGAUCAUCAAAAACCUGUCCAGUUGUAGUGGGUAAGGGAUUGGUCUGUGUCUCCUCCCUGUAUUCCAGAGAGAUGAUUGGUGGGUGUUAUACAUCUGGAAACAAGAACCUUU